GACGAACGCUGGCGGCGUGCCUAAUACAUGCAAGUAGAACGCACAGUUUAUACCGUAGCUUGCUACACCAUAGACUGUGAGUUGCGAACGGGUGAGUAACGCGUAGGUAACCUGCCUGGUAGCGGGGGAUAACUAUUGGAAACGAUAGCUAAUACCGCAUAAUAUUGAUUAUUGCAUGAUAAUUAAUUGAAAGGUGCAAUUGCACCACUACCAGAUGGACCUGCGUUGUAUUAGCUAGUAGGUGAGGUAACGGCUCACCUAGGCGACGAUACAUAGCCGACCUGAGAGGGUGAUCGGCCACACUGGGACUGAGACACGGCCCAGACGCCUACGGGAGGCAGCAGUAGGGAAUCUUCGGCAAUGGACGAAAGUCUGACCGAGCAACGCCGCGUGAGUGAAGAAGGGUGUCGGAUCGUAAAGCUCUGUUGUAAGAGAAGAGCGGGUGUGAGAGUGGAAAGUUCACACUGUGACGGUAUCUUACCAGAAAGGGACGGCUAACUACGUG
rnacentral:rRNA from 1 species